CAGAUUUUCACUGUAAAAAAUACAGUGAGUGGGUUUUCUACUGUAAAUUUAAAUGUAAAUAUCAGCAAAACUGUAAUUAAGUCACUUUAUUUUAGGGGUAAUUGUGUCCUUGUGACAUCAUGGUAUUUCUCCUUUUGUGGAGAAUUUUGUGUGUUUUAUAUAGUUUAAAAGUUUUGUACUAAUCCUUGAAGUAUUUGUUCUAUUUUAUGUGACUUCUGGUAAAAAACACACACAUAUUUCCAGUCUUCUUUUCCAAAAAUUGAUACAGAGGAAGAUCUUUUUGUUGGUUUACAGAUACCGAUACACUGUAAAAAAUAAUCUGUUAAA